rnacentral:rRNA from 1 species
AUUGAACGCUGGCGGCAGGACUAACACAUGCAAGUCGAGCGGAUGAGUGGAGCUUGCUCCAUGAUUCAGCGGCGGACGGGUGAGUAAUGCCUAGGAAUCUGCCUGGUAGUGGGGGACAACGUUUCGAAAGGAACGAUAAUACCGCAUACGUCAUACGGGAGAAAGCAGGGGACCUUAGGGCCUUGCGCUAUAAGAUGAGCCUAGGUCGUAUUAGAGAGUAGGUGAGGUAAUGGCUCACCUAGGUGACGAUCCGUAACUGGUCUGAGAGGAUGAUCAGGCAACCUGGAACUGUGACACGGUCCAGACUACUACGGGAGGCAGCAUUGGGGAAUAUUGGACAAUGGGCGAAAGCCUGAUCCAGCCAUGCCGCGUGUGUGAAGAAGGUCUUCGGAUUGUAAAGCACUUUAAGUUGGGAGGAAGGGCAGUAAGUUAAUACCUUGCUGUUUUGACGUUACCAACAGAAUAAGCACCGGCUAACUUCUUGCCAGCAGCCGCCGUAAGAC